GGGGAUUUAGCUGAGUGGCAUAAGCGCCUGCCUUGCAAGCAGGUGAUCGUGAGUUCGAUCCCCGGGAUCCCCG
rfam:Cavia porcellus supercont2_93 genomic scaffold, whole genome shotgun sequence.